UACGUAGGGUGCAAGCGUUGUCCGGAAUUAUUGGGCGUAAAGAGCUCGUAGGCGGUCUGUCGCGUCGGCUGUGAAAACUCGGGGCUCAACCCCGAGCCUGCAGUCGAUACGGGCAGACUAGAGUGUGGUAGGGGAGAUCGGAAUUCCUGGUGUAGCGAUGAAAUGCGCAGAUAUCAGGAGGAACACCGGUGGCGAAGGCGGAUCUCUGGGCCAUUACUGACGCUGAGGAGCGAAAGCGUGGGGAGCGAACAGG
rnacentral:rRNA from 1 species